rnacentral:rRNA from 1 species
UGGCUCAGGAUGAACGCUGGCGGCGUGCUUAACACAUGCAAGUCGAACGGAGUUUUAGUAAUUGAUUGAAUUAUCUUGCUAUUGAGAGAUUUUACUAAAACUUAGUGGCGGACGGGUGAGUAACGCGUGGGUAACCUGCCCUAUACAGGGGGACAACAGUUGGAAACGACUGCUAAUACCGCAUAAGCGCACAGCAUCGCAUGAUGCAGUGUGAAAAACUGAGGUGGUAUAGGAUGGACCCGCGUCUGAUUAGCUAGUUGGUGAGGUAACGGCCCACCAAGGCGACGAUCAGUAGCCGGCCUGAGAGGGUGAACGGCCACAUUGGGACUGAGACACGGCCCAAACUCCUACGGGAGGCAGCAGUGGGGAAUAUUGCACAAUGGGGGAAACCCUGAUGCAGCGACGCCGCGUGAGUGAAGAAGUAUUUCGGUAUGUAAAGCUCUAUCAGCAGGGAAGAAAAUGACGGUACCUGACUAAGAAGCCCCGGCUAACUACGUGCCAGCAGCCGCGGUAAUACGUAGGGGGCAAGCGUUAUCCGGAUUUACUGGGUGUAAAGGGAGCGUAGACGGUCAAGUAAGUCUGAAGUGAAAGCCCGGGGCUCAACCCCGGGACUGCUUUCAAAACUGUAUCCCUUGAGUGUCGGAGAGGUAAGUGGAAUUCCUAGUGUAGCGGUGAAAUGCGUAGAUAUUAGGAGGAACACCAGUGGCGAAGGCGGCUUGCUGGACGAUAACUGACGCUGAGGCGCGAAAGCGUGGGGAGCAAACAGGAUUAGAUACCCUGGUAGUCCACGCUGUAAACGAUGAAUACUAGGUGUGGGAGGACUGACCCCUUCCGUGCCGCAGUUAACACAAUAAGUAUUCCACCUGGGGAGUACGACCGCAAGGUUGAAACUCAAAGGAAUUGACGGGGGCCCGCACAAGCAGUGGAUUAUGUGGUUUAAUUCGACGCAACGCGAAGAACCUUACCAGGACUUGACAUCCAACUAACGAAGUAGAGAUACAUUCGGUGCCCUUCGGGGAAAGUUGAGACAGGUGGUGCAUGGUUGUCGUCAGCUCGUGUCGUGAGAUGUUGGGUUAACUCCCGCAACGAGCGCAACCCCUGCCAUUAGUUGCUACGCAAGAGCACUCUACUGGGACCGCUACCGAC